AUGAACGCUGGCGGCGUGCCUAAUACAUGCAAGUCGAGCGAACAGAUGAGAAGCUUGCUUCUCUGAUGUUAGCGGCGGACGGGUGAGUAACACGUGGGUAACCUACCUAUAAGACUGGGAUAACUCCGGGAAACCGGGGCUAAUACCGGAUAAUAUUUUGAACCGCAUGGUUCAAUAGUGAAAGACGGUUUCGGCUGUCACUUAUAGAUGGACCCGCGCCGUAUUAGCUAGUUGGUAAGGUAACGGCUUACCAAGGCGACGAUACGUAGCCGACCUGAGAGGGUGAUCGGCCACACUGGAACUGAGACACGGUCCAGACUCCUACGGGAGGCAGCAGUAGGGAAUCUUCCGCNAUGGGCGAAAGCCUGACGGAGCAACGCCGCGUGAGUGAUGAAGGU
rnacentral:rRNA from 1 species